rnacentral:tRNA from 4 species
GCGGGAAUAGCUCAGUUGGUAGAGCGCAACCUUGCCAAGGUUGAAGUCGCGGGUUCGAGUCCCGUUUCCCGCUCAA